UACGUAGGCAGCGAGCGUUGUUCGGAGUUACUGGGCUUAAAGGGCGCGUAGGCGGGCUGUCAAGUCUGGGGUGAAAUGCCGCGGCUCAACCGUGGAACUGCCUUAGAUACUGACGGCCUCGAGGAAGGUAGGGGCAUGCGGAACUGUAGGUGGAGCGGUGAAAUGCGUUGAUAUCUACAGGAACUCCGGUGGCGAAAGCGGCGUGCUGGACCUUUUCUGACGCUGAGGCGCGAAAGCUAGGGGAGCAAACGGG
rnacentral:rRNA from 1 species